rnacentral:misc_RNA from 1 species
GUGAAUCAUCAAAUUUUUGAACGCAAAUUGCACUCUCUUCGAAGAGUAUGCCUGUUUGAGGGUCAGGCCAAAAAAAAACGACAUAGUUGCUGUUACGCGGUAACAUUCGUCGGAAAUUGGGUCAUGUUAGACCUUUCGGUUUAAGCGGCUUAAACUUUUCUUUACGAUUCCAUGAACGUGUAUAUGAUUUUUUUUUCUUAUACUUUUGAGGUAUAGAUCUUUAUUAGACGUGGCCGUUGUAUCGUAUCUCGUCCUUAAAUA